UGCGGGCGGUCGUGCGGGCUUUGUCAGCAGGCCAGCGGGGAGGGCGGCCGGCGGUCCGCGUGCGGGGCGCGCGCCGUCCUCUCGCCGCUGGGCGCCGGGGUCUGAGAGAUGCCAAUCUAACCGAGUCUUCAGGCGAUACCUUGCUCCUGUCCACAGAGGUGGGACUUUUUGUAGAUGUAACAUUGUAACGGUAUCUUAAUAAUGGUGAUAACUGCAGCAUCCCUCUUACGGAGAAUACAGAGAGAAAUGAGGGGGGCGGACUCUGUAUUUUCACAAGCCUAACUUGGUGGCUCCAGCCCUUCCUGGAGUGAUGGUGAUGGAUUCCUGACUCUCCCGGAAAGGUCCUGGGGACGAUGGGGCUUGCAAGGCUGAGCUGAGAAGGCCCAGACCGCAUUCACAAGCCGGUGAUGGAAGGGGUGCUCAGGGAAGCAGCCGACCCAGAACAGGGCGAGGCCUUGAACCAGUUCAGGGAGCUGUCAGGCAUGUCCAGUGCUGCUUCGGUUUGUGGGAGAUGACUGUUGAAAGGACACUGAACUUGUCAGGAAAGGAGAAGACCGUUGGCAUCAUCGGGCAGAGUCCUGGGAGCAAAAACCAAAUGGCUGUGCGGUGGGGUGGGAGGAGGAGAUAGCAGCUAGCAGCUGGCUCAGCCUUAAGCGAGUCACCUCCCCGAGCCUCGUGGAUGGUUGUGAGGAAAGAAGAAGAGCACCCGCCAGGCACUCCACCCCCAACACGGCUGCAGUGGCAGAAGCUCAGGUUGAUGACAGUGGCGGCCGCGAGGCAGCGCAGAGGUGCAGCUUCUCCUGGAGCUCUAGUCCGUGUCUUCCUCGUGUGUCUUUUUACUCUCCUUUUCCCAUUAUUCCCAAGGGUGAAGCUUUGCAAACCUUCCCGCUUCCUUUCUUUAGGCUGUAAGCAGCAGACAGCGACCUUGGCUAACUUGUGAGCCCAAGGCUGUAACACCCUUUCACCAGUGCAGACAGCUUCUAGUGCCUGCAGCGGGCACUGCCGCCUCACCAUCUCUGAGCCCCUCUGGGCUGCUCGCAGGCUGCACUGCCAGGCUGAGCUUCCACUUCAUUCCCAGCACUGAGGCUUGCCCCAUCUCUCAGCAUCAACUGUGUAUUUAGACAGUUUCAUGUUAUAUUUUGUCCAGCAAAUUCUGUAUGUUAUAACAGAAGAGUGGGCCACAUUAGCCUCGGAUGUUAUGGAACCAGAAGUCUGGCGUAUUUUUACUUCCUUUGUUCGUUCCAUUCAGGUUUCUUUAAAUGAAAGAGUAUCAAUUUAAUUUUGCUUGAAUUCACAGAAGAAAAAGGAACUAAGCAGAAACUGAAAGAUUGCUGAAUUUAAGAUAAAUGUUUAUUCAAAGCAAGGUAUAUUUAAUUUUUAAAACUUCCUCUAAAGUUAAAAAAAAGUUAUGAAAAUCAUGAAAAGGCAUACAUUUUUGAAGCUAUAUUCUUGUAAAUAUAUGCAAGCCUGUUUUCAGGUGGUAGAACAGUCAUUUUAAACAAAAAAAUCAGAAAAUAUCACCUCCAAAACAAAAAACCAAGUCUUCCCCACCUUUUUUUGAAUUAAGAAAAAUAACAAGAUUUAAAAUAUAAGCUUACUUUUGUAAUACUAAUCCCAGCUGAUCUAAGCAAAAUAUCCUGUAAAAGUGACAUCAUAGUUGGGAAGGGAAAAAAUCUUCGACAGCGGGAAAUGGGCAGUGGAGGUAGACAGGCCUGGCUCUGAACCUGAGCUCUGCCACUUAGCAGCCCUGGGUGGUUGACUUUCUCAGCCUCCUGAAAUAGAGUAAAUAAUAGAGGUCAUAGCUGUCUCACAGGGUUUGGCGGUGUCCCUGAGACCAUGCAGGCCGGUUCAGCACCGCCUGGUUGGGGUUUGAGGGGCCCUCAUCAGUAACACCCCUCCUGCCCUCCCAGGUCUGCACCAGUGAGGCCCAUGAGCGAAAGGUCACCUCAGUACUGGUCAAAGCCUAGGUUGGAGUGACAUUGGACUCCUCAGGCGAGUGCUGGUUAGACACUGUCCUGCCUGCUGGACACCCUGUCGAAGAGGUUGGGUGCUGCAUGCCACUUAUUCUCUCAAACCUUUCACUUGGUGGACUCCUUCCACCUGUCUGGGGAAGAGAAGCGGGCGGAACGCGUCAGGGAGCAUCCUUCCUCUUGGCGCCGCAGGCACAGGGCUGGCUGCUCCCCCCAGCGCCUGAUGUGUCGUGGGGCCUCGGGGCGCCCGCGAGGGUGUUGGUGCUCAGAACACCGGGUGCCUCUGUGCGAAUGAGCUUGAAGAACGCCAGAAAGUGUUGCAGACGGAUGGGUAUAGUGUGAGCCCUUGUUUAUAUCUGAAAAUCAUGUGUACCUAAGUAAAUGUAUCAUUGUUUUUGUUUAAUCAGAGGUCUGGAUGAAAGUGUAUAAACUGAACAGCUAACUGGUUCUCUGUUGGAUUGCUGGGGGUUAUCAUAGUCUAUAUUUUAUGUUUACCACUUGAAAUAUUUUUACAAGGUGUAUCUUAUGUUUUUAAUCGCUAAGAAUUAACAAGAUAUAAAAGUAAAGUAAAACAGGAUAUGAGACUGAGGAGUGUGGUCCUGAUUUCAUAAUACAUUGGUGCAGAAAAGCACUAGAGGAAAAAUGUCCAUGUGUAAUCUGAGUGGUGGGGUUAAGGGUAAUUUUAUUGUUAUUUUUUAAGUUUUUCUUAAAUAGCAUAAUCAUCUGCCUUUAUACCUUGAAAAAAUAACUAGUUAAAAGUAAUUUUUAUAAGCAGAAAAGAUUUUAAACCAAGUUAGUGGGCCUUUAACUCAGAAGAACAUUCUCAGCGAACGUCACCAGGCAGUGGUCGCAAAUGCUGUGUCACAGGCACCCCAAGAGGGCUUCUGCUCCAGGAAGCUGUGUUGCACAUCUCACACGGAGAGGAAUGCCUCACGUAGACUGGUGCCCAGCUUCUCACCCUUCUUGUCAGCUCUCGGUGUGCGGGUUCAGUUUCUUCGUCAUCACAGGGAGCGUUGCAUCUGAAUAGUCAGGUUGUCUAAUAGCAGUAUUUAAGCAUGGGUUCAUUUUGCUGUAACAGAGAUUCAAAAAUAGUGUUUCCAACAGGAAACUUGGUUUCUCGUGUUCCAUCUCACAGGCAGGUGGGCGGCUCUGCCCCUCCAGCACCCUGGAGCCUGCCGUGCUGUCUCGUGCACGUCACCGCAGGUGGGCGAGAGGGUGGGAGGCGGGUAGCACACGCACAUCCCUUCCGUUCCUGUCUCACAGCUGGAAUCAGUCACAGGGUCACACCUCACUUCAGGGGACUUCAGGAAAUGAAGUCAUUCGCUGCUGUGUGUCCACUAAAAUUUCUGGAGGGGUUUCUAUCACUCAGAGGAAGCAGGGACGCCGGGCAAUGUGUCUCUGCCACAGUUUACCCCGUGGGCCACCCUGGGUCCCACACCAGGUCAUGCUCAGUUACUGCUUCCCGCCCAGAGCCCAGAUCUCUGUGUGUGGCCUUCUCCCGGCACCAGGGCCUCUUCACGUGGUCACAGUCUAAACUCAGACAAGUCCCGGCCUCCCCAAAUGCUGUCUCCUCACCCACCACAUAGAUGCCCCCACUCAGGAAGGGGAAGAACCCCAAACCCACAGCAGUCACUGGUCCACAGCGGCUGCGGUUCCCAGUGGAGUCUGCGAGCGCGGCCUGAACUGGUGGCCACUGAAGUGAAGGAGUCCCAGGACCCAGCGGAAAUGAGGACCUCUGUCGACCAGAAGACAAGCACAGGACCGGUUAUGGCAGCUCUGUCCCCAAGCCCGAGCUGCCAUCCCCUCGGUGUUGGUGGGUAGGAGAGAGGAGGGCGCGCGGCGGUGUGUUCACGCGGUGGAGGCCGCACACCGUGAGGUCUGUGCCACACAGGCGGCCUCCCCAGCGCGGCGCUCAGCGUCAGCAGACACGUGGUGGGGUCAUGACCCUGCUCGGGAGUUAAUUAGAUAGUGUGGAACGUUCUACAACCUCAGGGGUGUUCUAAAAAGCACUGAAUUGUGCACUUUAAAAUGGUGAAUUUUAUGGUGUGUGAAUUCUAUCUCCAUA